UACGUAGGGUGCGAGCGUUAAUCGGAAUUACUGGGCGUAAAGCGUGCGCAGGCGGCUUCGCAAGUCAGACGUGAAAUCCCCGAGCUUAACCUAGGAAUGGCGUCUGAAACUACGGAGCUGGAGUGUAGCAGAAAAAAGUAAAAUUCCACAUGUAGCGAUGAAAUGCGUAGAUAUGUGAAAAAAUACCCGAUGGCGAAGACAGCCUCCUGAGCCAACACUGACGCUCAUGCACGAAAAGCGUGGAGAACAAACAGG
rnacentral:rRNA from 1 species